UACGGAGGAUGCAAGCGUUAUCCGGAAUGAUUGGGCGUAAAGCGUCCGCAGGUGGCUGUGUAAGUCUGCUGUUAAAGAGUGAGGCUCAACCUCAUAAGAGCAGUGCAAACUACACAGCUAGAGUGCGUUCGGGGCAGAGGGAAUUCCUGGUGUAGCGGUGAAAUGCGUAGAGAUCAGGAAGAACACCGGUGGCGAAGGCGCUCUGCUAGGCCGCAACUGACACUGAGGGACGAAAGCUAGGGGAGCGAAUGGG
rnacentral:rRNA from 1 species